rnacentral:lncRNA from 1 species
UUCCAUUGCAAUAACUCAAAUUUAAGUAAAAUUUCCUGAUAAAAUUAACAUAAGUAUUUUUCUUUAAUAAAUAGUAAAACUUCCAUCCUUGAUUUUUAAUCUUUGAUCCAAUAGAGAAUCCUUCUUUUUCAAAACACUUGAAAUCUAUAUUCUUCCCGAAUUUCACUUUUCGAUCAGAGAGACGUCCUUGCUUGGACUGAUUGGAGACUGUGUAGAAGCUGAAGC